GUUGGGGGAGUGUGGUUGUGUGGGUUGGGUUGGAUGGGCCUGCCCUCAGGCUCCAUAAAAGCUGAAGGUGAGGAGAGACACUCUUGGCAGUGACCACCACAAAACCAGAGACUGAAGAGGUGAGCUGGACAGGCAAUGGUCAGGAGGUGAUCUCAAAAAACUUCAUCAAGGAGUGCAGAAGUGAAACAGGGAAAUGAAGGCCAUCCAGAAAGUUUGUAAUCAAAUCAUAAAUCCAGGAAAAGUUUCAAAUGUCUUGGCUUCUCAAUUCAAGAGUGGUGGUAGUUCAGAUCUUUCAGCCUGGGAUAUAGUAGUGUGUCAACUGAAUUUGAAAAGAAAAUCAUAAACUGUUGAACUAGAAGCCAAAUGUA